UGGGGAAUAUUGCACAAUGGGCGCAAGCCUGAUGCAGCCAUGCCGCGUGUAUGAAGAAGGCCUUCGGGUUGUAAAGUACUUUCAGUCGGGAGGAAGGUGGUAAGGUUAAUAACCUUGGCAAUUGACGUUACCGACAGAAGAAGCACCGGCUAACUCCGUGCCAGCAGCCGCGGUAAUACGGAGGGUGCAAGCGUUAAUCGGAAUUACUGGGCGUAAAGCGCACGCAGGCGGUUGAUUGAGUCAGAUGUGAAAUCCCCGGGCUUAACCCGGGAAGUGCAUCUGAUACUGGUCAGCUAGAGUCUUGUAGAGGGGGGUAGAAUUCCAUGUGUAGCGGUGAAAUGCGUAGAGAUGUGGAGGAAUACCGGUGGCGAAGGCGGCCCCCUGGACAAAGACUGACGCUCAGGUGCGAAAGCGUGGGGAGCAAACAGG
rnacentral:rRNA from 1 species